CUCAUUUGGUANAGCAAAGGACUGAAAAUCCUCGUGUCC
rnacentral:tRNA from 1 species